AGCAUUUAGCACAAGGGGAGUGCGACCAGUCCUAAGCUGGAAGGUGGCGGUUCAAUUCCGUCGAUGCUA